UACGUAGGGUGCAAGCGUUACUCGGAAUUACUGGGCGUAAAGCGUGCGCAGGCGGUUUUGUAAGUCUGUCGUGAAAGCCCCGGGCUCAACCUGGGAAUUGCGAUGGAGACUGCAAGGCUUGAAUCUGGCAGAGGGGGGUAGAAUUCCACGUGUAGCAGUGAAAUGCGUAGAGAUGUGGAGGAACACCGAUGGCGAAGGCAGCCCCCUGGGUCAAGAUUGACGCUCAUGCACGAAAGCGUGGGGAGCAAACAGG
rnacentral:rRNA from 1 species